ACUGAGGAGUUAAUGAAAAUUUCAAUGAAGAGUUGAACAAAGAAGGGAACCCUACAGGGGAUAAUAAAAUCACCAUCAUGAAGAAGCCGUCUCAUGAGAAAACGCACUAUGUGAACUCCCAACACUGCUGAAGAGUCACCACCUCUAGUUUGUCAGAUAAGCUCUUCAGAUGGCCAGUUGUCCCCUUCAGGAUCCUGGGAUGGGACCAUGUACGUCUAGCAAUAUAAAACUGGUACUGGCAUUACCAGCAGGUGCCCUUCUGAAAACCACUGGAAUGUCUCUGGCUCCUAAAAUAAGAUAAUUAGGUAGUAGAGUGCCCUGGGAUGUGGAUGCUUACCUUUCAGAACUAGACUUGGGUUCAUUCUCACCUGACUGCCUCAGCCACCUAGGAAACAUGACCCAGGUGACCAUUAUCUCAGAGGCUUCUGUCGGGCCUCUGCAGGAAUAAAUGCAGGCUAUUCUCUAGGCAAUCAAUGAGAAUAAGAGCCUCUAUACCUUUAUUGAAAGAGACAUUAACAACUGCUACUGGUUUAGUGAAAUGCAGGGUUCAAGGAAGGAGUCGAGGACCCAAUUGAAGAAAUAACAAGCAGUCAUGCCAGGAAUACAUCCCAAACCACAACCCUGUCUUGUACAUGGACACUCAGACAGUUUGCUUGCUCUAGGAGGUAGCAGGGAGAAGCCUCCAAAAAGAACUUAUCUGGCCACAGCCUAAGAAAGGAAGAAAUUAAGUUUUAAAAAAGAAACUUUUCUCCAUCCAUGUAACGUAGCUUAUUUGUAAAUAUCUAGAAGAAACAACUGUAAAAAUACAUGUCUUGGUCAUUGCCACAGAAGAAUAAGGUAGAGAACAAACAUCUUUAAUUUAAUGAGGACACAACCCGUCUAGACAAUCAAGCUCCUAAAGAAUAAGAGGUCUAGUGGGUAACUAACACAAGUGUUUAAAUAGCUUAAACUAGACCUUAAUAUUUACAUAAUGGCUUCAAUCCUUUGCUUUCCAGCCACGCUGUGAAUGUUUUUGAAUUGGGGAAAUUCUUCAUUCA
ensembl:lncRNA novel transcript